rnacentral:rRNA from 1 species
AUUGAACGCUGGCGGCAGGCCUAACACAUGCAAGUCGAGCGGAUGACGGGAGCUUGCUCCUUGAUUCAGCGGCGGACGGGUGAGUAAUGCCUAGGAAUCUGCCUGGUAGUGGGGGACAACGUUUCGAAAGGAACGCUAAUACCGCCUACGUCCUACGGUAGAAAGCAGGGGACCUUCGGGCCUUGCGCUAUCAGAUCAGCGUAGGUCGGAUUAGGUAGUUGGUGGGGUAAUGGCUCACCAAGGGGACGACCCGUAACUGGUCUGAGAGGAUGAUCAGUCACACUGGAACUGAGACACGGUCCAGACUCCUACGGGAGGCAGCAGUGGGGAAUAUUGGACAAUGGGCGAAAGCCUGAUCCAGCCAUGCCGCGUGCGUGAAGAAGGUCUUCGGAUUGUAAAGCACUUUAAGUUGGGAGGAAGGGCAGUAAGUUAAUACCUUGCUGUUUUGACGUUACCGACAGAAUAAGCACCGGCUAACUCUGUGCCAGCCGCCGCCGUAA